AUUGAACGCUGGCGGCAGGCCUAACACAUGCAAGUCGAGCGGAUGACGGGAGAUUGCUCCUUGAUUUAGCGGCGGACGGGUGAGUAAUGCCUAGGAAUCUGCCUGGUAGUGGGGGACAACGUUUCGAAAGGAACGCUAAUACCGCAUACGUCCUACGGGAGAAAGCAGGGGACCUUCGGGCCUUGCGCUAUCAGAUGAGCCUAGGUCGGAUUAGCUAGUUGGUGAGGUAAUGGCUCACCAAGGCGACGAUCCGUAACUGGUCUGAGAGGAUGAUCAGUCACACUGGAACUGAGACACGGUCCAGACUCCUACGGGAGGCAGCAGUGGGGAAUAUUGGACAAUGGGCGAAAGCCUGAUCCAGCCAUGCCGCGUGUGUGAAGAAGGUCUUCGGAUUGUAAAGCACUUUAAGUUGGGAGGAAGGGCAGUAAGUUAAUACCUUGCUGUUUUGACGUUACCGACAGAAUAAGCACCGGCUAACUCUGUGCCAGCAGCCGCCGUAAUAC
rnacentral:rRNA from 1 species